UUGGUUCCACCAAAACCACAAAUAGGUAUAAUUAUAUGUAAAAACCAUUAAACCCAUUUUUCUCGAAAUCCGUCCAAAUCCAAAUCCGUCAGUACCAAUGGGUCCAAGAUAGUCGAGCCGUUGAAAACGAACUAUUGGACGACUAUGAUCGGAGUUCGAUACGCGUCGAAAGCCAACUAUACUCCGUGGCCUCUUCGAAAAACCGGAGUUACUAUUCACUUAAGUGAUUCUUUCGGGUCGCGUAACUUCUCCGUCUUAACUCGUUUCCUCCUGAAACUUGACGAGUGCUUAUGUAAUUACAUUACACACAUAAACAUCAUCAAUAGAGAGUUUAGUUGCACUGUCAAAAUCUCAGUCCUUACAGCAGAUGUAUGAUGGUUUGGAUUUACCUUUUGCAAAAUUGCGUCUACUAUAAAAUGUCGAAACUUAAAAUUUUAAUUUUUACAUUUAAAAGUGAAAUUUCAACAUUUAAAAUUUAGUAUUUGAUUUUUUUAAAUUUAAUUUGUAAUUUAAUAUUUAAAAUAUUGAAUGUUUAAAUUUAAAAUUUAAAACUUAAAAUUAAAAAUUGUAUUUUUUUCCUUAAUUACUAAAACUAAAUGUUAAAAUUUUUCUAUUUUAAAUUUUAAAUUUUAGUUUCUAAAUUGUAGAUUUUAAAUUUUAUACAAAAAUUAUAAAGCUUAAAAUUUUGAAAAUUAUAUAUAUUAAUUUGCUGAAAUAUAUCAUGGAAUUUCAGAUUAUCUAGCUGAAUUCCUAAAAAUUCAAAAUUACAGCGCGUUAUUUGAUACAUAUAAAAGUUUAGAAUUUAAAAAAUUAGAAAUCAAUAAGACUCUAUAUAAAAUCAUAUAUUCAAAAUAUACAAACUGAAUUAAGAUAAAAUAUAUUUUUGAAAAUUUAAAUUUCUAAAUUGUUAAUUUCAAAUUUCAGAAUUUAAACAAAAGAGAGUUAGAAAUUUUAAAUUUUAAAUAAAUUACGUAAAUUUUUCGCCGUGAAGCGCGGGCCUACCCUAGUAAUACAUAAUAGUCUAGUUCUUUAUAUAGAGUCCGGCUACAAUGCUGUCGAUGCCAAGUUUUCAGCCAUUAGAUUUAUCCUUUUAACUAUUUUCACCAUUUAGAUCAUACUAUUUCACCAAUCACUCAUUUAACUAGUGGCGGAUUUGCU
rnacentral:lncRNA from 1 species